GGAAUAUAAGUUAAAGUAGGCAAGUGAUCUGCCUGCCUUGGUCUCCCAAAGUGCUGGGAUUACAGGCGUAAGCCACCUCACCCAGCCACCAUAAAUACUUUCAUUACGGAUGUUCUCAAACACACAGAUAAAGAAGGGAGAAAGCAUGCAAUUCACAUAACUUUAUAUACACUACCCACGUUAAUCAGUUAGCAACUUCCUGCUGAUCUUUCAACUUUUAAUCUUGCUAGGAAAGGCAGUCACGUGUGUGCAAUCUUUUGACCCCUGUUUGGCAGCAUUAGAAUAGGCCUUGGGUGGCCAGGUGCAGUGGCUCAAGCCUGUAAUGCGAGCACUUUGGGAAGCAAAGGCAGGCGGAUCACAAGGUCAAGAAAUAGAGACCAUCCUGGCCAACAUGGUGAAACCCCAUCUCUACUCAAAAUACAAAAAUUAGCUUGGUGUGGUGGCGCACACCUGUGGUCCCAGCUAUGUGGGAGGCUGAGGCAGGAGAAUCACUUGAACCUGGGAGGCAGAGGUUGCAGUGAGCCGAUAUCAUGCCACUGCACUCCAGCCUGGCAACAGAGUGGGACUCCGUCUCAAAAAAAAAAAAGCCCUUGCAACUUGGACUGGGUUUAUUUCCCUGUGUGGUAAUAUCUUUCUCUGUUUCAGACUCAAUAUUGUCUUCUUUGUUCUUCUAAAGCAUGUGCUUUAUGUAGUACUUGGCCAACCUCACUAUUCCAUCUUUCCUGGUGGGGAGGACACAGGAUCUUUUGUCUACAGCACAGGAGAGGUGCAAGCCGAACACCACCCCGUGUAGACUGAAGGUUGCCUUGGGAGACUGAUGCCCACUAUUGAAGCUGAUCUUGCCCUGCCUCUUCUCAAUGUUUUUAUCGGCGCUUCUCUGUGGAGGAGGCGGUGCGCACGGCUUCAGCCCCGAAUGCUCCACCUUCCACUGGACGGCGACGAAGGCGGUUGCCGUGCCAGCGCAGGACUGGGCGGCCUGUGUGGGAGUGUGAGCUGCGGUGCCCCGGGCAGCGCUCCAGAGGGGAAGCCCCGCGGCAGGCUGGAGCUACUCGGCCAGGGUUUCAGACUUUAAAUGAGAAUAAAGGGUGGUAUUUACGAGGAAAUGAGAGUGAAUAAGUCAUCUCUAACCUCUCCCAGCCUUUUUUUCAUAAGAGAGACCAUAUUAAACUUACAUGCUCUCCCGGCUGUGAUUGACCUUCAGUUACAGAGAGAGGGAGCAGAGUGGGACCAGGUCUGAGAAUAGUGAAGCAACUCAUUCCUUUCAGGACAUUCCCUCUGAUGUCCUAUUUUCAAACUGGUCUCUGGAGGAGCCUAAGGUGAUCUCCGCCUUCUCUGGAAAGCAGGCCGGGAAGCACGUGGUGCACAUCGCUUGCGGGAGCACUUACAGCGCGGCCAUCACUGCUGAGGGGGAGCUGUACACCUGGGGCCACGGGAACUGCGGCCGGCUGGGCCACGGCUCCAGUGAAGAUGAGGCCACUCCGAUGCUGGUAGCUGGGCUUAAAUAAGGACUGAAGGUCACCGAUGUGGCGUGUGGGAGUGGGGACGCUCAAACCCUGGCUGUCACUGAGAAUGACAGUGGUAACCCUGGCCAGGAGCGCGGACGUGCUGAGCAUCGUGCAGUCGGCUGCCCAGGCCGUGCUGCAGAGCGGCUGUCCGUGCUGCUGCCCACCACGGAGGAGCAGGCCCGGGCACUCUCUGCUCUCCUGCCCUGCGCAGUUUCAGGCAAUGAAGUGAACAUAAGUCCAGGUCGUCGAUUCAUGAUUGAUCUUCUGGUGGGCAGCUUGAUGGCUGCUGGAGGGUUGGAGUCAGCCUUACACGCAGCCAUUACUGCGGAGAUCCAGGAUACUGAGGCCAAAAAAGAAGCACAGAAGGAAAAAGAAAUUGAUGAACAGGAAGCGAAUGCCUCAACAUUUCAUAGAAGCAGGACUCCAUUGGAUAAAGACCUUAUUAAUACGGGGAUCUGUGAGCCUUCUGGCAAACAGUGUUUGCCUCUGGUUCAGCUCAUACAACAGCUUCUUAGAUGAUAGUGUCGAACCAAGUGGAACAAAGAAAGAAGAUCUGAAUGACAAAGAGAAAAAAGAUGAAGAAGAAACUCCUGCACCUGUAUAUAGGGCCAAGUCAAUUCUGGACAGCUGGGUAUGGGGCAAGCAACCAGAUGGAGUUUCGUUCUUGUUGCCCAGGCUGGAGUGCAAUAGCGCAAUCUCACCGCACGGCAACCUCUGCCUCCCGGGUUCAAGUGAUUCUUCUCCUCAGCCUUCUAUGUAGCUGGGAUUACAGGCAUGUGCCACCACACCUGGCUCUCACUUGUUUUUCAAAGAACUCAGUAAGGGUGGAAGGGACAGGGAAAAAGACUGAAUUGUUAGCUGGCUAACAGGGGCCCAGAGAGAUGAGAAAAUUUUACUAUUACUGUAUACAGCAUUAUUACAGUAAUGCUGCUAUUGCUAUUAUUACUACCACUGUUGGAAACUUUAUUGAGUGCUUCACCAGGCCCUAAGCUAACAAUCCCAUUUAAUCCUCACCACCACCAUAGGAGACAGUUAUCAUUAUCACCUCUAUUGUGUAGAUGAAAAACAUGGGGUAUUAAAGGUUAAGUGCUUGCCUAAGAUCACUUAGAGCUGGGAUUUCAACACCCAGGUAUAUCUGAUUCUCUAAACCCAUUCUUUUGGUGGGGGUAGGGGCACAGAUAAGGAGGAGGAAAUUAAUCCUUUGUUGAUUUUUGAAAGAACGAUACAUUGGCAUAGUCCAAACUUCAGAAGGUACAGAAGGGAAAUAUCUCCCCCCAAUACUGUUCCUCUCGCCUGAGUUUUUUAUGAAUCCUUACAAACAUGUUUUAUGUAUAUUACCAUAAUACGUACACACACAGAGACACACACACACACGUACAUGUGUUCCCUCUCUCUACACAAAUGGUAACAUACUAAAGAUACUCUUCUGUACCUUCAUGGUACAAGUACCCUAAUCCCCACCAAGGAUUUGACCAAGGGCACAGCCAAGUAUGGGCAGGGUGGGCACUUGGCCUCGGAGCUCUGUGUCCAGUGCUUGCUCCCCACAGCGCCCCGAAACUCACUGACAGCAGCUGACCCAGCCCCAACCUGCCUCUAACAACCACAUACAAAAGCAGCAAGAAAUGGCCCAUGCUGUCUUCUUGACAGGACACUGCAUCCUGCAGAAGGGACCUUUAGGCUCAUUCCUCCAUCUGUGAAGCUGCAGAAGGGGACCGGGUAGGUGAUUGGACUCACCCUGUCCGCCUUCUUGUGCUGUGUGGACACAGCAGAGAGAGCCCGCUGUAACUCUCUUGCAAAGUUCCAGGAAUGAUGCAGGCAUCCUGCCAGAUCCUUGGAUUCUUCUGGAAUGAGAGAGGUUGAGAUGCAGCCCAAAGGCCUGUGAAAAUGCCAGGUUGAAGGAAGAUGGGGUGCCCAGAUUCCCACCUUCAAAUUUCCUAGCAGCAUCCUGGCUGUAAUAGAGCGCUGUCUCCAGUUCAGUUUUCUGACACAUAAGGAUUCGUAUGGUAUGAUCCUGGGCCUUUGGGAGAAAAGACAAGCAAGUGCUGAAAGAGAAGCAAAGAAACCUUCUCCAGAUGACAGGAGGGAACUUCACACCCUCCACUCACCUCUAGCUGCCUCCUUAGGGCUUGCUGAUAUUGGUGGCUUUCCUGCUUUUCCUAUAGGAAGAGGAAGACAGAGCUCUUACUAGAGGGAGGCAGAGAUGGCACAGCAAGAGACAUGCCCCCAGAAUGGCACCACUGCCCCAGGACAGGCCCACCCAUGGGACCAGGUUAUCAGGGACCCUGUGGGGAUGGGGUGGAAUCUGGGAGGUGAGCCUUCCUCCCCGUACUGGGAGUAGGCGAGACGAGACUGGGGCCUCUACAUCUGAGUGCCCCCGAAACCCAGCAGUCAUGUCGUGAGCAAAGAAAGAAACCAUGUUACUUCUUUCAGCUGAGCUCGGUUCUGUUGUUUCUGUGGGGAGAGUCAAAGGAAGGUGACUGAGGGUAGCCCCUCGAUUCUAUUCCCCAGGCCAGGAAGCGGUAGGCAGGGGUCAGGAAUGGAUUUUAAGGGCAAAGUUCUUAGACCCAAUGGGAACAUGAACUGAUCAACUCUCCUUAAUGCCCAAAGAAAAAGGAUUUGGGUCUUUAUUGGUUUUUGCCCACAGCCACAAUACUGAAAGUCUGAAACUAGAUUCUCCAGAAAAGACAGUAACAGAAACCUUCAGACAUGGAAUGUGAGAAAAGCCCACCCUUCUGCUAGCUUGUGAUUUAGAAAGAUGUGUUCAUUCAACAAGCAUUGAGCAAGCACAUAGGGGCCAGGGACAGUUCUUCCCAGCUGGGAUAUAGGACGGAAAAGGCAGACAGGAGCCCUUGGCCCCAAGGUUUCCAUUCUAGUGAAUCUUUAAAUCCCAGAGUCUCAGAGCAAACAGAAACCUCUAAUACUCUAACUCUACCUCCUCAGGAAAUGGAAGCCCAAAGAGGAGAGGAGUUUACAGCAGGCCCUGGACUAGAGAUUAACACAACAACAACAACAGCAACAACAACAACAAAUCUGAUUUAAGCUUCACACAUGUAAGUAAAACAUUACCACCCCUAUUUUACAGAUGUGAAAAGAGAGGUCCAAAGAACUCAAGCAAUUUGCCAUAAAUCGUGUCCCUCGCAGAUGGAGAGAGAGGUAGGAUUCAAACCCAGAAUUCUUAACCAGUACCCAGCAGUUCUUCCUUCCACAAUCUCAACAGUUACCCUCGACUUCCCCUUGUGCCCCUUGUCCUCAGGAGACCAGCCAGCCAAGACUCACAUCCUCAGGUGAAUGGUAACCACCAGAAGUGGUUUUCUCAGGGUUAGUGCCAUUAUUUAUUUUCUUCUGUUUGCUGUCGGUUGCUCCGGUACCAGCACCAGCACUGUUCCACUGAUGAUCAUCUGUAAACUGUGGAAAAGAGGAGCAGUGAUACUCAUGAGAACUACAAGCUCCUACAGUCACUUUACAGUUUAUACAAAAUACUCUUAUAGACUAUCUGAUUUAAUGCCACCGACAACUGUACAAGGUGUUGUUGCAAUCACUUAGUGACUGAGAGAGAUUGAUACCAUGGCUAAAAGAAAGGCAAUAAUGGAACCGAAACUCAUUCUUCUGCCUCCGAGCUCUGGGAUUUUGCCACAAAUCAGCAGCUGCCAGGGACCAAAACCAGAGGCAGAGGUAGAAAAGUAAAAGUCACGUAUCCUCAGGGCAGAAGGCAGCCUUUCUGUUAAAUCUGGGAAUUGAACAGAAAGAGGACAACCCAAGCUUCAUUUUGGAGAGAAGUCUGCUAGUCUCUUAGAAAUAUAUGUGUGACUGUCAUCCCUAAGAACAUUAAUGUUUUGUCUCUCUCAAGAGAAUCAAGGGAAAGUGAUGCUUCAGAAAGAUGCCCCAUAUGUAUCCUGUGGCACUGAAAGUACCCCAGGUUGAGAUGAGAUGAGGAAGAUUCAAGUUGUCAAGUUCAGUUUCCCAAGGUCUCUUCCACAGAAGAUGAGCAAAUCUCACUUCAAAGAUCACUGACUGAUGGGCACUCUGGUGCCAGAACCAUGGAGAAUUCAAAUAUGAGGUGGAGAACUUAGGAAAAACUGUUGAAGUCUCUCUGGAGAGUAGAAGCCUGGGAGAAAACCAAACCAAACCCGUUCUCCCAUUGCCACCCAGAGACACUCUCAACAUUUUGAGUUCACAAGGGAGGUGUAGGCUUUUCAAACAGUCAACUUCUGUGUUAAGGGAGUAAGGCAGCCUGAAACUUCUUUUUUUUUUUUUUUUUCUUUUAUUAUUAUUAUUAUUAUACUUUAGGUUUUAUGGUACAUGUGCACAAUGUGCAGGUAAGUUACAUAUGUAUACAUGUGCCAUGCUGGUGCGCUGCACCCACCAACUCGUCAUCUAGCAUUAGGUAUAUCUCCCAGUGCUAUCCCUCCCCCCUCCCCCCACCCCACAACAGUCCCCAGAGUGUGAUGUUCCCCUUCCUGUGUCCAUGUGUUCUCAUUGUUUAAUUCCCACCUAUGAGUGAGAAUAUGCGGUGUUUGGUUUUUUGUUCUUGCGAUAGUUUACUGAGAAUGAUGAUUUCCAAUUUCAUCCAUGUCCCUAAAAAGGACGUGAACUCAUCAUUUUUUAUGGCUGCAUAGUAUUCCAUGGUGUAUAUGUGCCACAUUUUCUUAAUCCAGUCUAUCAUUGUUGGACAUUUGGGUUGGUUCCAAGUCUUUGCUAUUGUGAAUAAUGCCGCAAUAAACAUACGUGUGCAUGUGUCUUUA